rnacentral:rRNA from 1 species
GACGAACGCUGGCGGCGUGCUUAACACAUGCAAGUCGAACGGUGAAGCGCCUUCCUUUUUGGUGGGUGUGGAUGAGUGGCGAACGGGUGAGUAACACGUGAGUACCUGCCCCCUUCUUCUGGAUAACCGCAUGAAAGUGUGGCUAAUACGGGAUAUUCUGGGUCUGUCGCAUGAUGGGUCUGGGAAAGAUAUUGUUUCGGUGGGGGAUGGGCUCGCGGCCUAUCAGCUUGUUGGUGGGGUGAUGGCCUACCAAGGCGGUGACGGGUAGCCGGCCUGAGAGGGUGGACGGUCACACUGGGACUGAGACACGGCCCAGACUCCUACGGGAGGCAGCAGUGGGGAAUAUUGCACAAUGGGCGCAAGCCUGAUGCAGCGACGCCGCGUGAGGGAUGGAGGCCUUCGGGUUGUGAACCUCUUUCGCCAGUGAAGCAGGCCUGCCUCGUUUGUGGGUGGGUUGACGGUAGCUGGAUAAGAAGCGCCGGCUAACUACGUG